UCCCUGGAGGACUAGUGGUUAGGCCACAGCAUUCCCACUGCUGCGGCCCGGGUUCAAUUCGCCAGCCAGGGAA
rnacentral:tRNA from 1 species